rnacentral:rRNA from 1 species
AUACGAAAGGUGCAAGCGUUGUUCGGGUUUACUGGGCGUAAAGAGAGUGUAGGUGGUUUAUUAAGUCGGAUGUGAAAUCCCGGGGCUCAACCUCGGAACUGCAUUCGAUACUGAUAGGCUAGAGUUUGGGAGGGGUAAGCGGAAUUCCGUGUGUAGCAGUGAAAUGCGUAGAUAUACGGAGGAACACCUGAGGCGAAGGCGGCUUACUGGACCAAUACUGACACUGAGACUCGAAAGCGUGGGUAGCAAACAGGAUUAGAAACCCCAGUAGUCC